CCAAACUGGUCUGCACAUCUGGAUUGGGCAUAUUGUUAGUUGGACUAUUGCUUCAAUUCUACUGUUUAUUGGACAGGAAACCAAAAUAGGACAGGAUUUUAAAGCGUAGGCUGAAACAGGUGAAAUCAAGGACAUUACUUGAAUGCUACUGCAGGUACAUGCGAAGAAAUGAUCAAAAGGGCCGUAUUUGCCAGGGAAUUGGGAGUUCCAACAUGGCAGGAAUCUGAAAUUUAAGGCUAUAUCUGUUUCCUUUUGUUUGCAGCUUGAUUUUGAGUUUUAUGAUCGAUUUUCAUAAAAUGUGUGUGAAUUUCAACAUUAA